AACCAUAGAAACCUGCGGAGUACCUGCGGCGGGAUCAUUACAGAGUUGCAAAACUCCCUAAACCAUUGUGAACGUUACCUAAACCGUUGCUUCGGCGGGCGGCCCGGGUCCUUCCCGGCGCCCCUCGGCCCUCGCGGGCGCCCGCCGGAGGUAAACCAAACUAUUGCAUUGUAUGGCCUCUCUGAGUCUUCUGUACUGAAUAAGUCAAAACUUUUAGCAAUGGAUCUCAGAUCGGAAGAG
rnacentral:misc_RNA from 1 species